GAUGAACGCUGGCGGCGUGCCUAAUACAUGCAAGUCGAGCGAAUGGAUUAAGAGCUUGCUCUUAUGAAGUUAGCGGCGGACGGGUGAGUAACACGUGGGUAACCUGCCCAUAAGACUGGGAUAACUCCGGGAAACCGGGGCUAAUACCGGAUAACAUUUUGAACCGCAUGGUUCGAAAUUGAAAGGCGGCUUCGGCUGUCACUUAUGGAUGGACCCGCGUCGCAUUAGCUAGUUGGUGAGGUAACGGCUCACGAAGGCAACGAUGCGUAGCCGACCUGAGAGGGUGAUCGGCCACACUGGGACUGAGACACGGCCCAGACUCCUACGGGAGGCAGCAGUAGGGAACCUUCCGCAAUGGACGAAAGUCUGACGGAGCAACGCCGCGUGAGUGAUGAAGGCUUUCGGGUCGUAAAACUCUGUUGUUAGGGAAGAACAAGUGCUAGUUGAAUAAGCUGGCACCUUGACGGUACCUAACCAGAAAGCCACGGCUAACUACGUGCCAGCCGCCGCGGUAA
rnacentral:rRNA from 1 species